CACACGCGAGGCUCGAGGCCUGAGGGCGCGGUGGGGCCUGGUCUUCACGCUUCAUCUGAGUGGUCAGGCGGUGGGACGCAGCAAACUCUGGCUCUUAAAAUGAGAGCUCAAAAUACCCGCAUCCACCUGUUUGAUUUUGUUUCUCUUGGCUUUAUCACGGGGAUAUUAAGGUGAAACGUGAGACUGUCGGGAUCAUGAUAACCGACAACCUGGUUGUUCCUGAGGUGUGGCGUCACUCAGCGAAACCUGUCAUCUCCUUCAUGGUGCUAAGUUCAAGUCUUCACUAUACCCUGCUCAGUGGUGGUACCAUGGAGAGUUGAAGAAUGGGAGAUGUGUAGUAAGUACCCUAUGGAAUAGACAGUCUCCUGUCUUGGCAUGUUUCCUAUACCCAGGAAGAGAGAUAAGCACUGAGUUGAAGGGAUCACACAGGUUAGAACUGAGAGUGUGGUGGUAGAAGUCAUUGAUCACUGAGUGGCUCCAAAGAACUUUGUACUUUGCUGCAAAGAUCCGAGGUUCAGGAUACUGCUUAGUGGGGGAGUCCUAUUAAAGUAAUAUUGACAGAUGAAUUCCCCACCCAAUAACAGAGUUCAGUUUUAUUUUCAUUGGUUAAAAAUAUAGAUAUGGGGCCGGCAUUGUGGCAUAGCAGGUAAAGCUGCUGCCUGUGACACCAGCAUCCUAUAUGGGUGCCUGUUUGAGAUCCAGCUGCCCUGCUUCUGAACUAGCUCCCUGCUAAUGUGCCUGGGAAAGCAGUGGAAGAUGGCCUAAGUGCCAAGGGCCCUGGCACUCAUGUGGAGAAUCUAGAAGAAGCUCCUGACUGGCUUAACCCCACUGCUGCAGCCAUUUGGAGAGUAACCAAGAGAUAUAAGAUCUCUCUGUGUAUCUAUCUCUGUCUGUCUAUGUCUCUCCCUCUCUCUGUGUAACUGACUUUUAAAUAAAUAAAUCUUUAAAAAAAAAUCAUGGGGCUGGCUUGUGGCGCAGUGGGUUAAAGCCCUAGGCUGUGGCACCAGUAUUCCAUAUGGGCACCAGUUCAAGUCCUGGCUACUCCACUUCCGAUCCAGGUCUCUGCUACUGCCUGAGAAAGCAGUAGAAGAUGGCACAAGUUUUUGGGCCCCUGUACCCAUAUAGGAGACCUGGAAGAAGUUGAUGGCUCCUGGCUUUGGAUCAGCUUGGCUCGGACUGAUGUGGUCAUUUGGGGAGUGAACCAGCAAAUGGAAGACCUCUCUCUCUCUCUCUCUCUCUGGCUCUACCUCUCUCUGUAACUCUCUCUCUCUAAUAUAUAAAAGAAAUCUUUAAAAGAAAUCAAUAAAUUAUGUUAAUUGUCCAAAGACUGUGUUUAUAAAUUCAUGCUUUUUAUACACAGAAACAUUCUCCUUGGAUUCCACAUUGAAACAAAACUUGGCUGAAAAAGAAGCCCAAAAGAAACUAAGUUUGAAAAACAAUUGAGCUCAUUUGGUCAAAAAAUGCAAAUGAAAUAACUUGAAUGUCCAAUCUGAUUGUUUGCAAAUAUAUGUGCCAAUAAGACACAGCAUGUCCACUUUGAAUCAAAUAAAACUUACCAGCCCUGUGGUUUUAGUUAUGGAUUAAAUUGACAAACUCCAUGAACAAAUUCGUUCUCCUUUGUUUGUACCUAGCAUUCAGUGGUGUAUAAUUGAGUUAUUAAUUUGGCUAAUGUGACAUAUCCUUAAAACUCCUCUUAAAGUGAUUAGUAUUAAAAGCAAUUGAUGUCAUUUUAUCAAUAAAUAAAUGUCAUUUUAUCAAUGAAUAGGACUAUAUAAUAUAUAUAUAUAUAUGCUAAAUUGGGCUAAAAUACAGUAGACACAAAUCACUGUCCUGGUCAGACUGAUUCUCUGAGAAAAAAUGAUAAUGCAAACACCUAGGACGAUCUUAAACAUUUUUAAUAAUCAACGUGUGAGUCAGUUGGGCAUCAGUGAAGAUAUAAUCCAGAUUACAAAGGAAGAUUAUACAUGGAGUCAAUGAUUACUGUUAUCAUUAACAGAAAAUUUUCUUAGCUUUCCCAACACAGUUAAAUAGACAGCAAACUAUACUGAUGGCUCCCAGAAAGAAUGCCCGGCGUUUGGGAUGCUGUAGAGUCCUCACUAACGACCGCUUGUCAGAAAGCGUUGCCUUCAGGUCCUGGGGCAAGUUGGGAAUGAAAUCCGACAAGGCAUGCAAGGCUUCUGCAUCUUUGUGGGCAGAGGUUCGCAGAAGUGCUGUUAGGUAAAGCAGUGGAGGAGGAGCGUGAAAAAAGACUCGUGUCAAGGAAAGUCGGGCAGUCAUACUAGUUUUCCUGCUGAAAACGCAAAGGUUUCCCUCAAUCCAAUGAGACCUCAAGCAGGGCUGCAGUGCGCCCCGGCCUCCCAAGGUUCUUCUGGGCAGUCUCCCCUCCUCGCAGGCUUCCCUGUGCCACCCACCUGAUGGCUCUGACUGACAAGUCAGUCAGGGCCUGAGCUAUUCCCGCAACUUUCCCUCCCUCUCAUGAGAUUCCCAGCAGGACCCUUUCAACCAAAGCAAGUCUCGAAGGAAAAACUUAAACUCUGCGCGGUGGAGUGGGGUCUGAGCCCCUGUAGCAAUGAGGGCUCGAGGGGGUCCUGGGGGCCGACUAGGCAAAUAAAUGGUCGACAGCUGGAGCGCAACCAAUGGGAAGCACGAACCACUUGGGGUGGAGGAGGAGGAGCUCUCACCUGACUGUGGCCCAUAUUGCAGUGCGAACUCCUCCUGGAAGUCUGCAUUCCUCCUCCUGACUUUCCCACAAGUCUUAUCAAUGAGGUUGACAACUUUGCUCUUACAUAAGAUUCUUUGAGAAGAGCUCUUCAGUGAGCUAGCAGUGGUCUCUCCGGGGAACUGGCUCAGCAGCAGCCAGACUCCCAGCAGGUAAGGCAAAAACAGGCGCGACAUGCUGGGCGGGACUCUCCUGCUCUGACCUGGUCAGCUUUCUCUGGGACUGCCUCUGCUGCUGCCUACUGACCUGGGUCUGUGCCUGCCCAGAGCUUCAGGCUGCUUUCUCUGCCUGGCUCAGCCAGGUGUUUAUAUCCCUUGGGCUAUCACUGAGCUCUUGAGUCACUGCCCUAGCCCCACCCUUUCCCCCACCCCUGGCCCCACCCCCUCCACAGAAUUUCUUCCUCAGCUCUUGUUCACCCUCUUUCCUUCUCUCCUACAUCCAGGUCCCUCCAAGCCUCCCACUGAUGUGCUCUUUGUCUGUUUUAACAUGGAGUUGCCUUCUUGCCUUCCCAUUUCUUUCCUUCUAUGCCAUGAUUUUUUUUGCUUACUGAAAUACUUGCGGCUGUUUUGGUGUGUGUUUUAAGAUCUGAAAAGCACGGUGUUGACUUUGGAGGAAAUACAGGUAGUUGAACAACAACAAAAGAGAUAAAUCCGAGUUUUAAACUCACCACCAGUGUAUCUGUUAAGUUUUGCUGCAAGCACUUGCAUUUUCCUCUCUCCUCACACUUACUUAUAUUUGUUCUUAAAAUCAUUAACAGAUUAUCAUUAGAUUUUUUUUAUUAUUAUUAUUUUUUUUUUAUUUUUGAUAGGCAGAGUGGACAGUGAGAGAGAGAGACAGAGAGAGAAAGGUCUUCCUUUGCCGUUGGUUCACCCUCCAAUGGCUGCAGCCGGCGCACCGCGCUGAUCCGAUGGCAGGAGCCAGGAUCCAGGUGCUUUUCCUGGUCUCCCAUGGGGUGCAGGGCCCAAGCACCUGGGCCAUCCUCCACUGCACUCCCUGGCCAUAGCAGAGAGCUGGCCUGGAAGAGGGGCAACCGGGACAGAAUCCGGCGCCCCGACCGGGACUAGAACCCGGUAUGCCGGCGCCGCAAGGUGGAGGAUUAGCCUAUUGAGCCACGGCGCCAGCUAUAUCAUUAGAUUUUGAAAGUGCCUAGAGUACCCUUGCAUAGUUUUAUGAAUGGUACAUGAAUUAAUUGUUCACAAAGAAAAGAAAACUUAUGAUGUUGAAAUCAAUUCUUGUGAAAAGCUGAAAAUUUACAAAACAUCUCCUAACAUAAUGUUGGAAAUUUUCACACACUUUCCCAUUCACCCUUGGAAAAGGUUGGAACCUUGAGCUUAGAAGGGAUCCAGAAGUUGUGUACUUAAUCUGAUCUCCAGAGUUUCUGACUAGGAUGAGAAUACAGGAUCCUCCAGAGUUGCCUCUCAGGGUGUAAUGCUUGUGGAAACAAAGAAUUGAGGUCUUUAAUAAGUAUUGGGAGGGGUCACUGCCGUGGCACACUAGGUUAAUCCUCCACCUGUGGCGCCAGCAUCCCAUAUGGGCACCAGUUCUAGUCCUGGCUGCUCCUCUUCCAAUCCAGCUCUCUGCUGUGGCCUGGGAAAGCAGUAGAAGAUGGCCCAAGUACUUGUGCCCCUGCACUCACACUGGAGACCAGGAAGAAACUCCUGGCUCCUGGCUUUGGGUCGGCGCAGCUCCGGCCGUUGUCGCCAUUCGGAGAGUGAACCAAUGGAAGGAACACCUUUCUCUCUGUCUCUCCAUCUCACUGUCUGUAACGCCGUCAAAUAAAUAAAUAAAAAUCUAAAAAAAUAAGUAUUGGGAAGUCAUAUUCUAUCACUGUCUACUAAUCUCUUCUCUGGCUAAUUGUUGUGUGUUAUAUGAAUUUGAGUUAGAUAGUUUUCUUUAAGACAGAACAUACACACAUAAACUUCCAGACACACACACACAUACAUACACACACAAACAAAGAAAAAAUAGUAGAAUCCUACAAUCCAGAAACACUUUUUUGAAAUGUUCUUAAAAAUUCAAUUUAAGUAUGAUCAGUUUUCUGUGUUCAUAUGUGUUUGAUGACUAAGAGAACAGAAAUUAUUGUCAUUUCAAAAGUAUUAGGUAAAUGAGUUCCCCUUUCUAAGCAAAGAUCGGUUUACAUAACUAUCAUAUAAUACACAGACCUUUUACAUGCAAACAACCACAAAUUUAUUAAACCUUAUUUGUUGUGUUUGAAAUCUGUAGACUCUGAGUAUGUUAGGGCAGUUUUGAAAAACAGGUAAAUACCAUUAGUUCCAAAUAAAAGGAAUAAUUAUUUUUGUGCAGUUUUGAAGAAGGCUUUGUUAUCAUUCAUCCAGUACUGGGUAUCCAGUAAAUUCUUCAGAUAGUAUCUGGAGAGAAGAGAAUGCUUGGAGUCAGUGAUUCUGGAAUACCUCAGAGUGAAAGAUAGGUAAAGCCCUAGGGAAUAAAUGCCAAACUAUAGCCAAGUUGUCCUUGUCCACAGAGAGAGAGGGAGAAAAACACUGAGUUUAUGGCUCUCUGUGGGUGAAGUUUUCAGGUACUAAAACGUCUAGUUUAAAUGCACAGUUUAGUGUUAAAGCCCCAUUAAACUCUCUAGGUGAAAUUUUCAUACAGAGGUAGAAGUUGGAUAUUGGUCAAUAUACUGAAAUAAAAAUGUCAGAUAUUGCUUCCUAAUUCAUACUUGGCACACAGAAAAACAAUCUCUUAGAACUGAAGUGGGCUGGCACCACGGCUCAUUAGACUAAUCCUCUGCCUGCAGCACCAGUACCCUAGGUUCUAGUCCUGGUUGGGGUGCCAGUUCUGUCCUAGUUGCUCCUCUUCCAGUCCAGCUCUCUGCUGUGGUCAGGGAGUGCAGUGGAGGAUGGCCCAAGUACUUGGGCCCUGCACCUGCUUGGGAGACCAGGAAGAAGCAGCUGGCUCCUGGCUUUGGAUCAGCUCAGUGCACUGGCCAUAGUGGCCAUUUGGGGGUGAACCAACAGAAAGAAGACCUUUCUCUCUGUCUCUCUCUCUCUUGCUGUCUAACUCUGCCUGUCAAAAAAAAAAAAAAAAAAAAGAACUGAAGUGGAGCCCCUUACCCCUAAGGACUUUGAUGUUCACCUUAUGCAGCCCCAAUAUCUUCCUUAGCUUGCAGUCCUCUGCAAAGAUGAACUCAUUGAGAAAAAGGAGUGACAUAGUAAUUAGAGACCCUGAAUUAUAAUGACUUCAAUUGCCAUGCUAGUUAACAUAGUUGCCAUCUCAGUGCUGGCAUCUGUUCUGAGAGCUUUGGAAGAACUCACAGAAUCUGAUGAAAGAAAGUAAUACCCCAUCUACCCUUAAACCCAGACAGACUGGAGUCUGCCUUUCCCAUUCAAAAAGAAACAGGCUACUCCUAUCACUGGCCAAAGGAAGACCAUACACUCUGUUGACCAACCAGAGGCCCACACAUAUGCUGUUCAUGCACUGCUCAUCACCAACUUUGAAUUGUUAAAUUUCACAGCCUUUAAUCUUGCUGGGAGUCUGGGUACUGGGUAUUGGCUCCCUGACUCCUUUCUAUGUGCUUUGCAUUAAACCUGUUUUUUCCUACCACUUUGGUGUCUGUGAAAGCCCUGCUGUGCAUUCUGUGAGAGUGCCAGUUGGGUAUUCUGUAGCAGCUCUAACAAGUUAUAGGGACGUUUGAUAGCAGAACUAUUCAUUCAGAUCACUUAAAAAUGUAUUUAAUCCUUGAGGAGCAUGCAAGAAGCUUAACUUGACAAAUAAUUGAGUUCAUCUGGGCACAAACAAUUAGGUGUUUAUCCUGAGUUUUUGCAAAGCUUAUUUGAAUAGGACCAAAAAAUGCAAUUUGAUCAGCUAGAUAAUUGCACAGUUCUUGACUUUGUGUUUGGAGGAUCUAAACUGACAGGAUUGAUUAAAAACAUGAAGAUCAUAAUUGUAUAUACAUGAAGUUAAGCAAUAUACCAAGUAAGCAUUAUGUUGGUUAAUGAGAUAAAGACUUUAUAAUCAUUACUAAGUUUGGAAGAUUAAAAAGCAAUUCAUGUAUAUAUACCAUUAAUAAAAGGAAAUAAGAUUUCACUAGUAGAAAAGGAUUAUUGAAUCAUACUACAGUCAGUGGAUAACUAUUCUCAUCAUAAUGCAUCUUAUUAAGUUAUAUAUAUUUAUAUAAAAUGCUAAUACAGUGAUCGAAAUGCUGACCAACAAUGUAAGAAAAUAAGUUUUCAAUCAUGUGUUCAAUCCCUUAAGGUGGGAAUGAAUGUACUUACUAUGUACAAUGAAUGACUUCACAUAGGGUUCACUUGUAUGUAGCAUGUGCAUAUAGCUUAUAAACUGCACUUGUUUAUAACACAUUGCUUAUAAGAAACAUAUACUGCUCAUAUUUAAUAUUAAAGAACAAUUGGUGACUCUUUAAUUUUUCAGAAUUUAAUGUAACCUAUUUAAACUGAAUAGAGCUCUUUUGAGACUACUCUUGUAGUUUUACCUUAGCCUGUAAGUGAUCUUUAUAAAUGCCUCCAUGAUUUCUGGAAUUGAACUGUGCUCAAUUAUGAAAUCUUGUUUCUGAAGAAAAUCCAUUGCAGCUUCAAGUGCUUAUGAUGGAUAAUUGGAUUAUCAGCUAUGACUACCAGAAAGGCAUGCUGCUCUCUUGGAUUACCACCAACUUUCUCUUUACUCACCCAGAUACUUUUAUUUCUCUUCCAUCCCUCCAUAAAUGGAGCUUUAAGACCCAGUUCAGAGAGGUGAGAGGCAAGGACCCUCUUCAAAUGCAAAGACCUUCCUCAUGUCAUAGGCCAUAGUCCAGCUUUUUGACAAGAAAGGGAGUCUUUAAUUGCAAGUGCCAACUUGUUCUCUUUCCAUGACACAGACUGAGGUCUCAAAAUGUUGCCCCCAUACUCUCUGGCACAUAAACAGGCUUGAUAACCAGCUCACCACCUCACUGUUUGCCUCCUUUUCUUUCAAUUGGAGAGGACCUCUUAAGUCCUGGGUUGCCAGCAUGCCUGCUGUAUACCCCAUCCUGCUGUACGCUUUGACGUGGGAACAUGCUCUAUCUCCUGUGGAUUGGGUGUGUCACCUUGUAUUAGUUAGCUUUCCUUCACUCUAACAGAAUACCUCAGCAAAGUAACUUUACAAAAACACAUUUGAAGUUUUGCUUUGGGCAGCUACAUUGUCUUGGCCCCUGAUGAGAGUGGUGGAUAAGGAAUGUCUGUGGUGGAAUGUGUGUGCAGAUAGGAUCAAAUGGUGAGCCAGAAGCAAGGAGAAGUCUGGGCCUAACUCAGCCUUUUGUUCUCUUCCUCUGUAGAGAACUCCUUUCCAAGGGAGUGCCCUCAUUGACCAAAGGACCUCCCAUUAGGCCUACCUCCUAAAGAUCACAACUGGAUUAAGUUUUCACCCUCUUGAUACCAUUCACUUAAGACUUUAGGAUGUUAGGUCCAGCAAGAUUUCAGAAGCCAUAUCCUGUUUGAUUUAUAGCUUCUCCCCACAACUCCUCAAAAUUCAUGGCCUUUUCACAUACAACAUGCAAUCUUCCAUAUUCAACAGUUCCAAAGUAUUUACUCAGUCUAGCAUUAGUUGAAAAGUGCAAAGUCUGCCGGUGUCACGGCUCACUAGGCUAAUCCUCUGCCUGCGGUGCCGGCACUCUGGGUUCUAGUCCUGGUUGGGGUGCCAGUUCUGUUCUGGUUGCUCCUCUUCCAGUCCAGCUCUCUGCUAUGGCCCAGGAAGGCAGUGGAGGAUGGCCUAAGUGCUUGGGCCCUGCAUCCGCAUGGGAGACCAGGAGGAAGCAGCUGGCUCCUGGCUUCGGAUCGGCACAGUGCACUGGCCAUAGCGGCCAUUUGACGGGUGAACCAAUGGAAGGAAGACAUUUCUCCCUGUCUCUCUUUCUCUCACCGUCUAACUCUGCCUUUCAAAAAAAGAAAAAAGUACGAAGUCUAAUCUGAGACCUAACACAAAGUCUUCUAUCUGUGGUUUAGUAACACUUCACAUCACUUACUUCCAAGAUAUAAUCCAGGACAGGUACAGCAUAUAUUUUUCCAUCGCAAAAGUAGGAGAUGGAGAAUUAGAAAGGAAGAAUGAUGAGACAAAAGAAAACAGAGCUAAAAUUGGCAUCGAGGGCAUACUGUUGGAUGAGUUCCCAAGAUCUUGGACAGUCCUGCCCCCACAGUUUCUUGGUCAUAGCCCUACCUCAGUUCUCACAGGAUGGAAUCUCUUUUCUGCAUCUCCAGUAUAUAGUUGCCUAAUGCAUAUUCUCAGUUGCAGCUUUCACCCAAAGUUUACUCUUGAAGUUACUGUAAUGAAACUCUCUAAGGUGUCUAUCUGCCUGCAAUUGGUCUCUUCCUGAUUUUCCAGGUCUCUUCCUGAUUUCCCAGGUUUCCCAAAACAUCCUUUUUAUCCUGCUGGAGGCCUCCAGGCCUCUACUCUUCUCUCAGGCUGUUCACUGACAUUAGUAGCUUUCCAAGGCUUGUGUAACACAUUGCUUGUAUUUUCCUCUGUGGGCACUACCCAUUGCUGUUUUCUAUAUGUCUCUGGGGUCUUCCUUUUGACUUUAUUGCCUGAACUCCACUGAACAUCAUCUCGUCAUUGUGCUUCACGUGGGGCUGCAAUUCUGAAGCACAUCUCUGCCUGGCCUCUCAGGCUUUCCUUUGAAAUUUCAGGGAAGCUACCAUGACCCCAUAACUCUUGCAUCUUUCAUGCUUGCAAAAAUAAAAAUCAUGUGGACAAUUCCAAGUUCUGUUGCCAACAGGAGUCUCACUUCUGUGCUCUUGAAGUUAGGGAUAUGAAUCCUUAGGCAGUCUUGGGCAAGGCUGUGAAGUUCAUCUAACAAAUCAGCCCAUUCAUGCCUCUGGAUCACUGAUUGGAAGGGCAGCAUCCAAGAUUUCUGACAUGGCUUCCAGUCCUUUUUACCAUUGUCUUGGCUGCCAACCUGUGACUCUGUUUUACUGAUGUGACCUCUUACUACACUUACUACACUUUCCUGUCCCAUUCUUUUUUUUCCACUUGUUUUCUGCCAGCCUGCCUGCAUAUUUUAGAGAGCUUUCCAUUGUGUUCCCUUUUGCCCUGGAUUCUCACUGUUUAACUUAGUAAUAAUCAAUCACUACCGUGCCACAGCUUAAGCAGUUUGCUGCCAUGAGAUCUCUUCUGAUAAUAGACAACCUGAAUAAACAGUACUGAAUGAGGGUCCCAGAAAUAGAGCAACACAAAUUUAGUUACCUGAUCUUUGAUAAAGGAGCAAAAGAAACCGAAUAAAUAAUUUUCGUUCAAAUGAUACUGGAACAAGUAGUCAGAGAGAAAAGAAAGAAAGAAAACCUUAUAGUUUUAAUGAGUUGAUUCAUAAACCUAAAUGUAAAAUGAAAAAGUAUAUAGGAGUGACAUUAGCAAAAUAGUGCUCUAGGAAACUCCAAGACCUUUUCCCAUGUGGACCUUAAAAAAAGAAAAGAAGAAAGGAAGAAAAGGAAAGUGAGCUAAAUUACCCUUACAAGUUCUCUCAAAAUCAGCACAAUCAGUGCUCUGUAGUAAAUACUUAUAUGACCCAUCAAGGACAGCAUUUAAAGCGCUGGGAAAUUUUGUGGUGUUUAAAAAUAUAUGUUAAGGUACAGUCUUAGUCUGGAAGAAACGACAUUCUUAUAACCAGUUCAUUCUCUUGAUUUGAAUGUAGCAAAACAGAACAUAUCUGCAACAUUCUUACCUGUCUAGGGACUACCAAAAGAAUUCGUGUAUGUUUUGCUGUACUAAGAUCUAAGCAGAAAGAAGCAGUAGAUUUUGCUCAGGAAAGCUGCAGGGAUAUUAAGAGAAACAGAUGCUCUGUGGCUGAGGAUCUUCCGUAGAUUUUCUAUGAGAAGCUGCUGCAUAAUAUUUUGGAAAUUCAGCCUCUUAAAAGCAGCUGUGUCAGGGCUGGUGCCGUGGUUCACUUGGUUAAUCCUCCACCUGCAGCGCCGGCCUUCCAUAUGGGCACAGGGUUCUAGUCCCGGUUGCUCCUCUUCCAGUCCAGCUCUUUGCUGUGGCCCGGGAGGGCAGUGGAGGAUGGCUCAAGUGCUUGGGCUCCUGCCCCCGCAUGGAAGACCAGGAGGAAGCACCUGGACCCUGGCUUCGGAUUGGCACAGUGCCAGCCGUAGCAGCCAUUUGGGGAUUGAACCAACAGAAGGAAGACCUUUCUCUCUGUCCCUAUCUCACUCAUUGUCUGUAGUUCUACCUGUCAAAUAAAAAAAAAAGCAGCUGUGCACAUGGUAUUGUUUAUUCUAAAGUUCUAGGCAAGAUACAUGCUCAGGACAGAAUUGAAAGACAUAUGCUUUUUUCUACAGCUGACCACAGGGCUUAGAACAUUCCCAACAAAUUAUUGAAGGAUUUUCUCACUCAGAAUUGGGAUGGAGAGCAUUUUUUUCAAAUGUCUAAUCUUCAAAGAAAAAUAUUUGCAAAACACACAAAUAAAGCAUGCUCCUUGGUAAGUAAGAAAAUAACACCAUCUCUGAGAAGGGCCCAGACAUCAGUCUAACUAGACAAAGAUUUUGAAACAACUGUCUCAAAUAGGUUCAAGGAGCUGAAGAAAAAUGUAAUGAAAUGGAUCUAAAUUAAAUCUGUAACAUUAUAUAUGUACUGAAAAUAAAGUAAUAGAAAUAAUAAAUAGGAAAUAAUAAACAGUAGUACUAAAAUAUAAUAACCACAUUUAAAAAUUCUUUACAAGAGAUCAACAGGAAACUUGCUUGAAUGGAAAAGAGUCUGUGAAACUGAAGCUAAGACAUUUAAAAUGAUCCUGGGGCUAGCACUGGGGCACAGCAGUUUAUGCUGCUGCCUGCAGCACCAGCAUCUCAUAUGGGUGCCGGUUCAAGUCCCAGCUGCUCCACUUUUGAUCCAGCUCCCUGAUAAUGCACUUGGGAAAGCAACAAAGGAUGGUCCAAGACUUGGGCCCCUGCAUCCAGGUGAGAGACCCGGAUGAAGCUCCUGGCUUUGGCCUGGUCCAUAUGGAGAGUAAACCAGAAGAUGGAAGAUUUCUCUCUCUCUCUCUCUCUCCUCUCACUCUUGCUCUCACUCUUCCUCUCUUUUUAUAACCCUGCCUUUCAAAUAAAUAAAUCUUUAAAUAAAUGAUCAUAUCUGAGGAGUAGAAAGGAGAAAGAAGGAAGAAAAGUACACAGAGCCAAGCACUUUGGGGACAUAAUUAAGAAAACCUGUGGAUUAUGGGAGUUACAGAAAAAGGAGAGACAGAAAAAGACAGAGAGGGGGCGGUGCUGUGGCGUAGUGGGUAAAGCCACCGCCAGUAAUGCUAGCAUCACAUAUGGGCACCAGUUCAAGUCCUGACUGCUCCAUAUCUAGUCCAUCUCUUUGCUAUUGCCUGGGAAAGCAGAAGAUGGUCCAAGUCCUUGGGCCCCUGCACCUGCAUGGGAUACCCGGAAGAAGCUCCUGGCUCCUGGCGUUGGAUCAGCCCAGCUCUGGCUGUUGCAGCCAAUUAAGGAGUGAACCAGUGGAUGGAAGACCUCUCUCUCUUACUCUCUCUCUCCCUCUGUCUUUCCUUCUCUCUGUGUGUAACUCCGACUUUAAAAUAAAUAAGUGCAUCUUUAAAAAAAAAUACCACACGGCCACACACUUUGGUUUCUGGUGCUUGCAAGCUCUACUUCGGCAGGUAGAAAGCAUCAAAGAGAGAGAGAGAGAGAGAGAGAGAGAGAGAGAGAGAGAGAGAGGUUAUGUGAAGAAAUAAUGGCUUAAAA